rnacentral:rRNA from 1 species
GAUGAACGCUGGCGGCGUGCCUAAUACAUGCAAGUCGAACGGAGAGCUAGCAAUAGUUCUUAGUGGCGAACGGGUGAGUAACGCGUUGGUGACCUGCCCCGAAGUGGGGGAUAACAGUUCGAAAGGACUGCUAAUACCCCAUGAGAUCAUAGAGAUUAGAGGCUUUAUGAUGAAAGGAGUAAUCCGCUUUGGGAGGGGCCUGCGUCCCAUCAGCUAGUUGGUAGGGUAAAAGCCUACCAAGGCGACGACGGGUAGGGGGCCUGAGAGGGUGAUCCCCCACACUGGCACUGAAACACGGGCCAGACACCUACGGGAGGCAG